AUGCUAUGGUUUCCAUCCCUCAUAAACCAAGUCCACUGGCUUUGGAAGUCACCAUGGCCACCUCCCGGACAAGAGCAGACAAGUGAGAGUGUAGAGGUGAACCAUGGCAGCAAGAACUUUGUCGACUGCGUCGGCCAUGGAGUUCAGGGCCUCACGCCUAAGGAGACCCUCACCGGCGUAUCCUCCGAGCUCGCUUCCCCUAUGAUGCGUGGUGCAGACAACGGAGUUGUCAUUAUCGACACCAGCAGCCUUGCCGCUCCGGCGCUAACCACAUGCUUGAAGGAGCGCCCGAGUCGUGACGCCACCGUCAACAUCUUCCCCGAGCUUGCUGCCUCUGAUGUAUGCUACGAGGCCAUCAACACCGACAUCGUCAGUAUCAUGGCACCACCGCCCGCCACCUGUUCUAAGGGUCUGAUCCAUGACGGCAUCAAUGAUCCCGUGGCGGUGCAGAUGCUCAGGCCAUCGCCAUGGCCUUCGUUCGUCACUGAGCACACAAGUACUGCUUGUAGCAGCAGCAUUGAGCCACCACUGAGUGCCGCCACUGCGUCGUGCAGGAAAAUGUUUCCAAACUAUGGGGAAAUCACUCUUGAUACAAUGGAAUCAAGGGUCUUGCGAGUAAUGGAUUUCCUACAGCAUUGCAAUCAUUUGAACUAUGAAUAUGGCCUACACUGUUUAUUGGGUGGAAUUCUCAUGGAGGCUGCAAAUAAUUUCAAGGACGGAGUUGUCUGGUUGCCUCUCGAUUCUGAUCAAGAGGGCAGCUCCUUGCUACUGGUACCAUUGUUGUUCAGCCUAUGA
rnacentral:rRNA from 1 species